rnacentral:rRNA from 1 species
UACGGAGGGUGCGAGCGUUGUCCGGAAUCACUGGGCGUAAAGGGCGCGUAGGCGGUCUGCUAAGCGUGCGGUGAAAGCCUGGGGCUCAACCCCAGGUCUGCCGUGCGAACUGGUGGGCUAGAGCACUGUAGAGGCAGGUGGAAUUCCGGGUGUAGCGGUGGAAUGCGUAGAGAUCCGGAAGAACACCGGUGGCGAAGGCGGCCUGCUGGGCAGUUGCUGACGCUGAGGCGCGACAGCGUGGGGAGCAAACACGG